AAAGGAAUAGACGGGGACCCGCACAAGCAGCGGAGCAUGUGGUUUAAUUCGAAGCAACGCGAAGAACCUUACCAAGGCUUGACAUCGCCUGCAUAGUAUGGAAACAUAUGAAGUUAUAGCAAUAUAACAGGCAGACAGGUGGUGCAUGGUUGUCGUCAGCUCGUGUCGUGAGAUGUUGGGUUAAGUCCCGCAACGAGCGCAACCCUUAUGAAUAGUUGCCAAUAUUAAGUUAGGAACUCUAUUCAGACUGCCGUGGAUAACACGGAGGAAGGUGGGGAUGACGUCAAAUCAUCACGCCCCUUACGUCUUGGGCUACACACGUGCUACAAUGGCUGUUACAAAGGGCUGCGAUACAGUAAUGUAAAGCAAAUCCCAUAAAAACAGUCUCAGUUCAGAUUGUGGGCUGCAACUCGCCCACAUGAAGUAGGAGUUGCUAGUAAUCGCGAAUCAGAACGUCGCGGUGAAUGCGUUCCCGGGUCUUGUACACACCGCCCGU
rnacentral:rRNA from 1 species